GAUGAACGCUGGCGGCGUGCCUAACACAUGCAAGUCGAACGGAGACCUUCGGGUCUUAGUGGCGCACGGGUGAGUAACACGUGGCUGACCUACCUCAAAGUAGGGGAUAACGUUCCGAAAGGAAUGCUAAUACCCUAUAAGCUCCCGGUGUUUAGAAAACUGGGCGAAAAGUUACGGCGCUUUGAGAGGGGGCUGCGAGCCAUCAGCUAGUUGGUGCGGUAACGGCGUACCAAGGCGACGACGGCUAGGGGGCCUGAGAGGGUGACCCCCCACACUGGAACUGAGAGACGGUCCAGACUCCUACGGGAGGCAGCAGUGAGGAAUAUUGCACAAUGGGCGCAAGCCUGAUGCAGCGACGCCGCGU
rnacentral:rRNA from 1 species